rnacentral:lncRNA from 1 species
GUCCUGUACCAAGUCAGGAAAAUGGUUGUUGUUAUUGUAUAGUUCGUUUCUGUAUGUGUUGCAUUAUCAUUUGAUUUUUUUGUAGCACUUUAAGUUUUUCUGUUGUUUCGUUGUUUUCCUCGGCUCUUGUAUUUGAUGUUUCCCUUAAUUUUUGUUUCUUUCAAUCGAUUUAUGACUUUCGAACAGCGGUAUACUAUUGUUGCCAUUAUUUACCAAUUAAACUUAAUGUACUUACAUGAGCAGGAUCUGCUAACCCUUCCGAUGCACCCGAGAUCACCUUCGUUUAUGGUGCGUUUUGUGUUGCUCAGUCUUUCUAUGAUGUGUUUUGUAUACUGUAACAGUUUAACAGUUAAUUGUAUUUUGAUAAUUUUUAUGCUUUUUGCAAUGGCAUUGUCAGUUGUUUUUCUAACUAUUGAGUUUGAGUAUUUUUUGGGUAUUUGUCGACUCUCUUUGUCUGUAUGUGUGUGUCACUUAU